UCCCUGGUGGCCUAGUGGUUAAGGAUCCGGCAUUGUCACUGCUGUGGCUCAGGUUCCAUUCCUGGCCCAGGAA
rnacentral:tRNA from 1 species